rnacentral:rRNA from 1 species
GACGGGGGCCCGGCACAAGACGGUGGAGCAUGUGGUUUAAUUCGAUGAUACGCGAGGACCUUACCUGGGCUCAAAUGUAUGUUGACGUAUUCUGAAAGGGAUACUUCUUCGGACAAUAUACAAGGUGCUGCAUGGUUGUCGUCAGCUCGUGCCGUGAGGUGUCGGGUUAAGUCCCAUAACGAGCGCAACCCCUAUCAUUAGUUGCCAUCAGGUCAAGCUGGGGACUCUAAUGAAACUGCCUACGCAAGUAGUGAGGAAGGUGGGGAUGACGUCAAAUCAGCACGGCCCUUACGUCCAGGGCUACACACGUGCUACAAUGGCCGGUACAAAGGGCAGCUACCUGGUGACAGGAUGCUAAUCUCAAAAGCCGGUCUCAGUUCGGAUCGGAGUCUGCAACCCGACUCCGCGAAGCUGGAAUCGCUAGUAAUCGCGCAUCAGCCAUGGCGCGGUGAAUACGUUCCCGGGCCUU